UUAGUAAUUCAUUCAAUAGUAUUUUCUAGUUAGAAUUAGAAGUGUUUAAAGUGUAUUCAUUGCAUGUAAAAUAUAUCGGCAUGCGAUGACGUCACAUCCGGUUUCGCCGCGUCUUGUGGGAAAACACCGGUUUGAAAUUAGCGCGAGGGUGGGGGCUUUCCACGAGGCUCACCUGAGCACAAGCAGUUUUGCAGGCAUGAGAAAUCACAGUGAGAGCAACGCUUUUUCACCAUAUGUUAAUGUGAAGAGUGAACAGUAAAUGGUUAAUCUUACUGCGAUCUGGUUCUUAUUAACUGUGGUUUAUCCGGACGUUAAAUUCGGCGUUUCGUUACACCCGAAGGAGAACGUUACAGUGAAAAAGCGGCAUUAUCAGGUGUUUCAAGUGCUGCAAUGUCAGCUCAAUCCAGCAUCAAGUCGACGCCGCCCAGCGACAGGGGCAGUAGAACGACAUCAAGUAAGUCCGCACAGGCAAGAGCCAAGGCAGAAGCCGCCAAGGUGCGACUGCAUUACGCCAAACAAGAAGCAGUUUUGAAAAUGAAACUGGCCACCAAAGAAGCCGAAAGGGCCGCCAGACAAAGAGAAGAGGCCGCCAGAGAAGCCGAAACCCAGUUGGAAAUGGCAAAAAUAUCGACAGAGUUGCAAGUGCUGCAGCUAGAAAGAGAAGAAGAAGCUGCCGUGGCGGAAGCAAAGUACAUAGAAGAAGCUGAAGGGUCGCAUGAUCUGACCGCAGCAAGAUCUACUUUAGAAAGGACCAGACUGGAACGCACAAGUGACUAUGUACAAUCUCAAAUAGACAGGCAGGCUUGUCUCCCUUCUCCAUACGUAUUCGAUAACUUCCCCAGCUACGAGGAACCUCAGAGAGUCACGAUUGCAUCACAUCCAUACGAGGAAGGAAAUUUACCCUCACGGCUCCGUGAUGAAGUCAAGAAUGAAAGAACCGUCAACGCUCCUUCACCCCCACAACAGGACGGCGGGGAGGGAGAGGUUCACUCCAGGACAACAAUUGUCAGCUCGAACUGUACAGAAGUUUGCGGUCAAACUCAGUCAAGCCGUUCUUGUUCCGAGAUCUGCCUCACUGAGGUGUACCCUAAAGAAGCACAACAAGACAUUACCAAGCGUAAAGUAACCGACGAGACGCUAGGUCAGUCAGUUUUCGUUCAAACCGAGCACGGAAACAAACUUGCACAAUCAGCUCAAGAUACCAUUUCUUUAAAACCCAAAGACACCAAGGUCUUCAGAGAUGAAGCAAAUAAUGGGGUUGCCCCAUUGCCAAUCAGAGAACCACGCCAGCGCUCACCAGAUAACAAAGAGCAGGCAGUCAAACGGUUCACGUCCUUACGGAAAACCCGGAAAAGGAAACCCGAGAUGCAGCAACGCACCCGAUUGGCCCACGAGGUACUGUGCACCCUAAUGGCAGAGGUCACAGCCAUUAUAAACGCACAAUCAUUCCUACCUGUGUCUUCUGACCCAGAAAACCCCUUUAUACUUUCGCCAUCAACGCUCCUUACGCAGAAGGCAGGAGCACCUCCUCCACGAGGAGACUUCUCAGACAAGGAUUUGUACACAAAGCAAUGGAGACAAGUCCAGGCUCUGGCAAAUCAGUUCUGGCCCCGCUGGAGACAGAAAUAUCUACCUUUGUUGCAACAGAGACAAAAGUGGACAGAACCCCGAAGGAAUCUUCAAGUUGAAGACUUAGUCCUGCUCAGGGACAAGCAAAUCGCCCGCAACAGCUGGCCAACGGCCAGAAUCACUGUUACAUUCCCUAGCGGGGAUGGACAUGUCAGGAAGAUCGAAUUGAAGACUACCGACCAAGGCGAUGUGAAAAUUUACCAAGGGCCAGUUACAGAAGUUAUUCUACUUCUACCCAAUGACUGAUUAAGAGACUAAGUUUUGUACUCUGCUCAUUGUGACCUUACGAAGGUCAAGCGGGGAGUGUGCUGUCUUUACGACAGUUAUUUAGUUUAUAAUAUUUUCGCUUAGUAAUUCAUUCAAUAGUAUUUUCUAGUUAGAAUUAGAAGUGUUUAAAGUGUAUUCAUUGCAUGUAAAAUAUAUCGGCAUGCGAUGACGUCACAUCCGGUUUCGCCGCGUCUUGUGGGAAAACACCGGUUUGAAAUUAGCGCGAGGGUGGGGGCUUUCCACGAGGCUCACCUGAGCACAAGCAGUUUUGCAGGCAUGAGAAAUCACAGUGAGAGCAACGCUGUAAGUUAAUAGAUAAUCGAUAUAUUGAACUAAGAUGUUAAUGCUGAUCCUGUUAGAGGUAACGACGGUAGAUAAUGUUUAUGCUUUCGUUAGUUAAAGAGUCGCGGAUAGUUUGCAUGGAAGUGUAUUUAAAGUAGUCAAUGGAGCAGGUAAACUCUCCCUGUAUACUGCACCUUAGUGUAAUGUAGUUAUAGUCACCUUUGCAAGUAUUUACACUUGAAAUGUGAUAUUAAGGAAGGAACAAAUACUGUAUCAACCUUGUAUUGUUUUAUCAACAGUUUUCACCAUAUGUUAAUGUGAAGAGUGAACAGUAAAUGGUUAAUCUUACUGCGAUCUGGUUCUUAUUAACUGUGGUUUAUCCGGACGUUAAAUUCGGCGUUUCGUUACACCCGAAGGAGAACGUUACACUCUGUACUGGUUGAAACUGGAUAAAAUUUUUGUGUAUAUACUACAAGUCCAUGAACCAAGAGCCUGGAAGUGGGAUUAUUCUGAAUGGAUAGUUUCUGCACAGAAUCUUCACUUGAAAUGUCAAACAGGGGUGGUGAACUAAUGGCACACGUGCCCAAGAGAACACAAAGAAAAAUGUUGUUGGCACGUGGCAUGCAGUGCUGCUCCUCAAUUAAACCCCACACGUAAUGGAAAAUCACACAAUGAUUAUAUUUACUGCCAAAUGAAGCAGCAAUUUAUUUUUUACAACCCACAAGCAGUGAGAGGUUUACACAGUAAAUGCCUCACGCCGGCUUGGUGUCAAGUGGACAGUUGUGAGAAUACAUGAUGUUGGACAAUACGUAUUGAAAUCCUCACAGACCUGGUGUACACUUCAGUAUUUGGACAUCUCUGGAACGGUCACCAGGAUCCUGAAGAAAUAUUGGAUUAAUACCAUCCGUAAACCCAUAAGGAAGCUCAAAUCGCAGCUAAUGCUGGUCAAAGAUGACCUGGGUCUCGGGUUGGCUGGGGUUUACAGAAUUCCUUGUGAAUGUGGAGCAGUGUAUACCAUCCAGAUGGGAUGCACAGUGGAAACCCACAUCAAGAAGCAGAGGAGGUGUAUCCAUUUGGGGUUACCCAGAGAAAUCGGCGGUAGCAGAAUAUUGCAUUUGGAAUGGCCAUAGAAUUGACUUUGGCAACACAAAACUGCUUGUGGGACCACCUGGUAAAAGAAGCCAUUGAAAGAAAACUAGAGGAAAAGAAUUCCAACAAAGAUGAAGGUCUCGCUCAGAAAAUAUGCUUUAAUUCCAAGCUUUUCAGAGGAUCUUUCUUGGACCAACAUAUAACUGCUGUUACAAAGAAGGCAAGGCAGAGCUUCCACGUGUCAUCUGAAACUUUGACAGAAUUCUCCAGAUGCUCACUGGAGAGCAUCCUGACAUCAUGACCUGGUGUGGAAACACCAAUGUCCAUGAAUGGAAACACCUACAACAAAGUAGUGGAUACAGCCCAGUCCAUCACAGGAUAAGAACUCUCUACCAUUGAGCACAUCCACAAGGGCACUGCCACAAGAAAACAGCAUCCCUCUUCAUUUACCCCCACCAUCCAGGCCAAGUACAUCAGGAAGGAGGUACAGGAGCUUGAGGACCCACACCAGACAUCGGGCUCCUGAACCAGCGUAGAUAACUUCACUGUACCAAUACUGAAUUGAUUCCAGAACCUAUGGACUCACUCUCAAGGACACUACAAUUAAUGUUCUCAAUUUUAUUUAUCAUAUGUCAUUAUUUUUAUUCUUUUCACAGCUCAGGCUGGUAAAACCUGAGGUAUGGGCAUAGCCAAGCACACCUUUUUCUCAAUUGCUAGGAACCUUUCGACUAUUCUGGUGGUGUUUAGUUUGUGGCUUUCUGGAGAUUCACAUAAAUAUGGUUGUGCAGGUGUAAUUGUUUAAUGCUAUUGUGGAGUGACAUUGGGAUGAUACCAGUUGUAGAUAUCACUACAGGACAAUAUAUACCCUGUUCAUGUUCCAUAGUCUUUCAAUUCAGCAUAUUUCUGGUGUUUUUCACUUACUGAUUUCUGUGUGUUAUAUAUGUUUGGAAUGACUAUAUCUAUUGAAUACCUUGUUCUUGCUUAUUUAUCCUGCAAUAUAUUAUCUGAACAGUUCUUUUGGAUGGCCCUACCUAUGAUGAUGGAUCAGUGGUAAUAUAAUCUGUAGGACUCUGAUUCUGAAACUGGAUCAGGCCUGUCUUUAUAGUAGGAUGUGGUGUCUUUUGAGUUUGUAUUUUAAAGCAAGAUUUUGGUGUGCCUGUGUAAGUUAUCAGAUGGAGUUAGACUGCUACAGGAUUCUGUAAUGUGUUGGCUUAUUUCUGGUUUCUCUCGGCACUUUUGCAUUUAUCAUCUCAAAUUUGUUGUUUUUAUUAUGUACUUUUGAUUUUAUUUUUGCAUUAAAUACUUUGUCCUGUAUUGCUACAAGGAACCCCUUUGUUUCUGGGAAGACGUCUCCAACUCUGAGCCAGGUGUUCAACACUUCUUUGUUGACAUCUAGUCUGCUCAGAUUGUGGGGAUGUCUUCCAUGAAGGGUCAUACUCUUCCGCUGGUCAACGUAUUCUUCUGUAGUGAUAACUUGUUUACGUUUCUGGCUUGUGUUUGUGAUAAGGUGGGGGCAAGAGCGCUGGGAGAGGAUCCACAAGCAGGACUCAAACACGACUUUCUUACGUUCAAUAAAAUAGCAUUUAUUUCUCGCUACACAGAGAACCGGGAAAUCAAGGAGGACAAAGAGGAACACGAACCUCGGACUAGGAGAGUAGGGACUUGGAUCGCCGCGGACCUUGGACUUGGAGACUAGGACCUUGAACCACUGCAGCCAGAACGUGGACACCAUGGAUCACCGCAGCCAGAAUGUGGACACCAUGGAUCGUCGCAGUCAGAACGUGGACACCAUGGAUCCCAACGGCCAGAACGCGGACACCAUGGAUCGUCGCAGCCAGAACGCGGACACCAUGGAUCGUCGCAGCCAGAACGCGGACACCAUGGAUCGUCGCAGCCAGAACAUGGACACCAUGGAUCCCCGCAGCCAGAACGUGGACACCAUGGAUCGUCGCAGCCAGAACGUGGACUCCAUGAAUCACCGCAGUCAGAACGUGGACACCAUGGAUCACCGCAGCCAGAACGUGGACACCAUGGAUCGUCGCAGUCAGAACGUGGACACCAUGGAUCGUCGCAGCCAGAACGUGGACACCAAGGAUCCCAACGGCCAGAACGUGGACACUCAAACACAGGACAGAAGCGUGAGCCGGAACUCCGCCUUCAACUCAGGAACCAAGCCGAGACUAUUCUUCAAGGGAUAAACAUGGACACUGGGCAUGAACAUCGAGCCAGGACUCUGCCUUCAACUCAGACACCGAGACAGGACUCUUCUUUGAGGAACAGACACGGACACUGGGCAUGAACAUUGAGCCAGGGAACCAAGCCGGGACUCUUCUUCGAUGGACAGACACGGACACGGGACAUGAAUGUCGAGCCAGGACUCUGCCUUCAACUCACCCCUGGCAGUUUGACCUUGCCCGGGCCCACUCUGCCGAAGGAAGGCGAAUUGCCGGCACUCCAAUGCGGGCUGGAUAACCCUGGCUUGUGGUAGUGACGGCGACUUGCUAAUGCUUCCUAACACUCUCGCCCCAAACGACUAAAGCCAGGGGCUUAUAAACUGCCGGUUCGGGUCGAGAGUAGAUUACCUUAAUGGCCAAGCUCAAGGGACACUUGAAACGGAAUUAGGAGGGAACAAGGAGUCAAUGGUCCGGAUCAUAACGCAACCUAACCAAAUUUAAAAGGGAACCGAUCCGGACCAUGACAGUGUUUUCAUUAAGUUUAACUGUGUGUUCUCCUUAUCGGAAAUGCAUAUGCUUGUGUGGAGUGCUGAGUUCUGUUUUCUUUGAUGAAAAUAUAUCUUUAGAAACUUUUUCUGACUGUUGCAUAGAAUUUAUGUAUGUUAUUCCUCUUCCUCCUUCUAUCCAAGGUGGUGUUUUUGGGUGUACACAGUGUUUUCUAAAAUGUUUCACUUCAGUCCUUGUUUUACUUUGUAAAUUUCCCAGAUCAG